UAAAGAAUUUCGGUAUGGGAUGGGGAUGCGUUCCAUUAGUUAGUUGGCGGGGUAACGGCCCACCAAGACAACGAUGGAUAGGGGUUCUGAGAGGAAGGUCCCCCACAUUGGAACUGAGACACGGUCCAAACUCCUACGGGAGGCAGCAGUGAGGAAUAUUGGUCAAUGGACGAGAGUCUGAACCAGCCAAGUAGCGUGAAGGAUGACUGCCCUACGGGUUGUAAACUUCUUUUAUAUGGGAAUAAAAUGUUCCACGUGUGGGAUUUUGUAUGUACCAUAUGAAUAAGGAUCGGCUAACUCCGUGCCAGCAGCCGCGGUAAUACGGAGGAUCCGAGCGUUAUCCGGAUUUAUUGGGUUUAAAGGGAGCGUAGGUGGAUUGUUAAGUCAGUUGUGAAAGUUUGCGGCUCAACCGUAAAAUUGCAGUUGAAACUGGCAGUCUUGAGUACAGUAGAGGUGGGCGGAAUUCGUGGUGUAGCGGUGAAAUGCUUAGAUAUCACGAAGAACUCCGAUUGCGAAGGCAGCUCACUGGACUGCAACUGACACUGAGGCUCGAAAGUGUGGGUAUCAAACAGGAUUAGAUACCCUGGUAGUCCACACAGUAAACGAUGAAUACUCGCUGUUUGCGAUAUAAGCAA
rnacentral:rRNA from 1 species